rnacentral:rRNA from 1 species
CCAAUCGAGCCCGGAGAUAGCUGGUUCUCCCCGAAAUAGCUUUAGGGCUAGCCUCAAGGUGAGAGAUACGGAGGUAGAGCACUGAAUGUCCUAGGGGGUAUUGCACUUACCGAAGACUAUCAAACUCCGAAUGCCGUCAUCUUAUACUUGGGAGUCAGACUGUGGGUGAUAAGAUUCAUAGUCGAAAGGGCAACAGCCCAGAUCGUCAGCUAA